rnacentral:lncRNA from 1 species
GGUAUUGUAGGUAUUUAUAGGAAAAGUUUUGGAAUUGGGAAGAGGAGUGGGUGAGAGAAAAAUAAAUGUGGAUGAAUGUGAGUGGAAUGGAGUAAAGGUGAGUUGAAUGGAAAAAUGAAAAGAUGGGGAGCAACGGUCAUGUCCCCAACGGUCACCAACGUUCACCUAUUCUGAAGCUGUCACGCUCGUGACAGAAGGUGUUACGGGCGUCAUGUGCAUUUGCGUGACGACCGUGAUGGCUUGUGUGACGCUCGUCACACCAGUUAGCUUGCAACGGUCACUGGCGCUCGUGACUGCUGACGUGGGUGCUUCAUAAAUUAUUUUUAUUAAUAAUUUUUUUUUUUUAUUAUAUUUGCUAUUGUUAUAUUUUUGAAUUGCCAUGUAUGCUAUUUUACUACACACCAUAGUGUAUAUAUAUAUUUUUCUCUAAUAGGCUAUGUAAGUAGUAGCAUAUAGUGAAUAUCAUUACUGGUAAUUGU